AUUGAACGCUGGCGGCAGGCCUAACACAUGCAAGUCGAGCGGAUGAAGGGAGCUUGCUCCUGGAUUCAGCGGCGGGCGGGUGAGUAAUGCCUAGGAAUCUGCCUGGUAGUGGGGGAUAACGUCCGGAAACGGGCGCUAAUACCGCAUACGUCCUGAGGGAGAAAGUGGGGGAUCUUCGGACCUCAUGCUAUCAGAUGAGCCUAGGUCGGAUUAGCUAGUUGGUGGGGUAAAGGCCUACCAAGGCGACGAUCCGUAACUGGUCUGAGAGGAUGAUCAGUCACACUGGAACUGAGACACGGUCCAGACUCCUACGGGAGGCAGCAGUGGGGAAUAUUGGACAAUGGGCGAAAGCCUGAUCCAGCCAUGCCGCGUGUGUGAAGAAGGUCUUCGGAUUGUAAAGCACUUUAAGUUGGGAGGAAGGGCAGUAAGUUAAUACCUUGCUGUUUUGACGUUACCAACAGAAUAAGCACCGGCUAACUUCGUG
rnacentral:rRNA from 1 species